UAAUUGGAUAAAAAAGUUCCCAUUGCAGGCCACGGGUGGUUGGUUAUUGGGUAAAAAGUGAAAAGAAUUUAGGUGUCAUUUCUUAAUUGGAGAGUUUAUCCUUAAAAGAAGCAAAGACUCAGCAGUUCUGGAUGAUGCCUGUGGGCUUUACCCAAUGUCCCUGUGGUUAACCAUUCAGUCUUGGAGGGUUUGGGGUGAGGAAUUCUUGUUCUGUGGGAAUCACAGAAUCAUUGAAGCUGGAAAAGCCCUCUAAGCCCACAAAGUCCAGCCCAGCACUACCAAACCCACUACUAAACCAUGUCACUAGGUGUUACAUCCACGCAUGCUUGGGCAGGAAUCAGCAGUGCUGCUGACUUCCAAACAGCCAAGAUCCCAGUUUUUUCCCCCUGAAAAAAAUUAUUCUCCUUUCCCUGCAGGACAGGGCUAGUUUUCUCUUGGCAGCAGCAAUCCAUGUUGUUGUUUGUCACUUCCACCAUGGGGGAGAUUUGGUUUGACUUUCAGCUGAGUGUGGGACCUGUUCUAAUUUGGAUGGGGUGACCUUGGCUCUGCCAGAGAUGAUCUUCACACAAAAUCACAUCUUCAGCUGCUUGUGCCUGAAUGGGGAACAAUUAAUGUCCCCAUCAAUUUAUUUUCUGUUUAUAGACCCAGCUUCAUGCUCAUCUUUAAAAAGCAAAAAGCUCAUUAAUGGGGAAUUUUCUUGCCCAAAUCAUCACUGAUUCCUACUCAGAGGUGGCUGCCACCCACAGCCAAAGCCAUGGACUGAUGUCCAGUUUGAGCCUCUACCCCCUGGCUUUGGCUCCUCUGGCCUCCUCCUCAGACAGAAGGACUGAUUUUAGCCAAGGUGAGUUGUGACACUGUUUUGAACAAGUGAAGAGCUCAAUAAACAUCUAACUGAUAUCACAAGCUUGAGCAGAUGGAGCCAAAAUGCAUUUUAUUGAUAAGGGAUAUUUUUUUUGUUUCCAAAUAAGGGAGCCAAUCUGAGCAUUGCUGUAGAAAUUUCAGGUGGGUUGGAAGCAGGAUGAACAACAGGAUGUGUUCAGAGAUGAACAGAAGUGCUCAGGGACUCAGUUUGGAACCGACUUCAUUAAUGGGACUGACUUCAUUAAUACCUUUCCUAAUCAGCUGGGCUCACAUGGAGGAGCACAUGGAUCACUUCUGAAGCUGAGGCAGUGGAGAGCAUGGGAGAGAGGACCUGGAUGUCCCACAGGGAGGAUGGAGCGACCUCGGGGCCCGUCAGGAGAAGCAGUGUGAGGUGAUGUCAUGCAGCUCCUCGAGGGCUGCUCCAGGCAGGCAUCUUCAGGAAAGCUGCUCUGAAUUGACUUCCAAAUGAGAGUAAUUAAAGCAAACGAGGCCUUUGCAGGGAAGAGCUCCCGGCUGGAUGGCUCAAGCGAGUCACCUAUUUUCGCAGGGCUCCGUGUCAGUGAGGCUCCCACUUCUCUGCCAGGGCUGGGGACACUGCCCAGAGGCUCCAAACUUCCUCAGGACUGAGAAUGGUGCACUUUAAGAUCCCCUUGUGUGUGGAAUCACGCUAAAAGCUACGAGACCACGCAGUUCACUCUCCGUUUUCGGUGGCCCCAAGGGUCACAUUUCCCAUCUGCUCCUCCACAGACUCAUAUUUUCCUUCCCACUCUGCACGGGAGCUGGCUCUCAGUGUCUGUGUGUGGAAGCUGGGAUUCUGUUGGGAUCAUCCCUCCCAAGGUGCACCAGCUCUGACCAGACCAGCUGGGAUGAGAUCCAGAGCAUCUCUUUGGGUUUUUUACCACCCUCAUGAUCACGCAUUGUGUGGACCAGCACGGAUUUUCACCAGGAGCUUGUGACUACUCCUGUGUCCCAAAAAUGUGCCUGGAUACAUUUUCUCCUGGAGGGCUCAGGAAAGGGGAGCAGGUCACCAGCUAAGUUGCCAAAAUGUCCAUCUGUCCAUCCCUUUAGGGAUCCAUCCAUCCAUCCAUCCGUCCAUCUCCAGGACAGAUGGACAUGCAGCAUCAUGUGGAAAGCUGGAGCCACAGGGACGGACGCUUGCACAACGGAGCUUCCAGCCCUAGGGGUGUUCUCCUGUCUAGGCAGAAAAAUAAUUACAUGUUUUAAAAUACUUCAUUUGUAACGUUCUUCAAGGAGAGUUUUGUGUCUCCUUCCAUCUUUCAUUACAGCAUUAAUGUAAAAAAUUAGACUAAAAUUGAAGUUAAAUGGUAUUUUGAGGGCUUUUUAUUUCUAUGCUUAACCCACUGCUUUCAGUUUUUUCCUCCUUGUUUUGCUUUUUUGUUGUUAUUUUG